rnacentral:rRNA from 1 species
UGACGUGAGAGUAGCUUGCUACUCUGCUGACGAGCGGCGGACGGGUGAGUAAUGCCUAGGGAUCUGCCCAGUCGAGGGGGAUAACCAUUGGAAACGAUGGCUAAUACCGCAUACGCCCAUUAUCGUGGUGAUAAUUGGGGAAAGAGGGGGACCUUCGGGCCUUUCGCGAUUGGAUGAACCUAGGUGGGAUUAGCUAGUUGGUAAGGUAAUGGCUUACCAAGGCGACGAUCCCUAGCUGGUUUGAGAGGAUGAUCAGCCACACUGGAACUGAGACACGGUCCAGACUCCUACGGGAGGCAGCAGUGGGGAAUAUUGCACAAUGGGCGCAAGCCUGAUGCAGCCAUGCCGCGUGUGUGAAGAAGGCCUUCGGGUUGUAAAGCACUUUCAGCGAGGAGGAAAGGUUGUUGGUUAAUACCCAGCAGCUGUGACGUUACUCGAAGAAGAAGCACCGGCUAACUCCGUGCCAGCAGCCGCGGUAAUACGGAGGGUGCGAGCGUUAAUCGGAAUUACUGGGCGUAAAGCGUACGCAGGCGGUUUGUUAAGCGAGAUGUGAAAGCCCCGGGCUUAACCUGGGAACUGCAUUUCGAACUGACAAACUAGAGUUUUGUAGAGGGUGGUAGAAUUUCAGGUGUAGCGGUGAAAUGCGUAGA